AUGACGAGUCAUAUGAAAUUAAUACAAAGACGACUAAUAAACUGCCAGGCUAUAAUAAACUGUCAGACUAUAAGAAACUGCCAGGCUAUAAUAAAUUGCCAGGCUAUAAGAAACCUUUUUUACAUGAACAGUAAUAAAUAUUUUUCCACAUGUUCAGGUAAAAACGAUAUAAAUGGUAAUAAUAUAAGUACAUUGAAACCACAAGAACUUCGUAAAUUAUCCGAAAAUUGUAGUUAUAAAAAAAUAACUGACGUUUUAUUAUGGUCUUCUAUUGCUAAAAAUGCUAGUGACAAAUAUAAUGAUUUUAAAUAUUUUGACGCUUUAUUACUAUUAUCUUCAUUUGAUACUAUGAACUUAUAUGAUAAACAUUUAUAUGAACAAUUUUCACAUGUUUUUAUAAAACAAAUACAUUUAUUCGAAGUUAAACAUUUAUUGCUGUUAAUAAAUUUAUAUUAUAAAGUAAAUUUAUUUCCACGUAUUUUAUUUAUACAAGUUUUUCAUUAUCUAGCGAAAAAUUGUAAUAAAUUUUACCCAGAUGAAUGUAAAGACAUAUUAAUAUGUUUUGCAAAAUUAGGAAUUAUAAAUACAAAUUUAAUAAAAAUAUUAUGUAAGAAUAUUGUAAAAAAUAUUAAUCUUUAUGAUUAUUGUACUUUAUGUUCCAUUGUUGGUUCGUUAAGAUUAUUGAGUAUAAAUGACGAUGUUUUUUAUUAUGUUGUAGAUGAAAAACAAGAAAAAGAAUUAAAAUUAUUAACCGUUCAGGAACUUUUUGAUAAUAUUAAAAAAAUAAAAUUAUUAGUAUAUUGUUGGGAAUUAUAUGAAAAAAAUUUAAUGAAUGAAUUUUUAACUCAAUUAAAUAAUUUUAAAAAUGAAAAAGAUGUUGACCAAUUAGAUGAUCCAUUCAUUUGUUUAAAUUUUUUAAUUAGUAAAAAUUUAGUAAAUAAUAAUUUUUUAUUAGCAUUAAGUAAAUGGUGUUUAAAAAGAGUUUAUGAAUAUCCAAGUAGGUCAUCCAAAAGACCAUUAUCACAUGAAUUAAUCAAAUUAUAUGAAAUAAUGAAAGAAAAUAAUGUUAAAAAUUUUGAUUUUAUUGAAAAAGCAAUUCAUAGAUUUGUUAUUACACGAGGUGGUUUAGAAGUUAAUAGAGAUAAAAUGUGGAAACCGGUAUCGUAUCAAAAGGGAAGAAAGUAUAUAUAUGCCAGUGAUCCAUAA
rnacentral:lncRNA from 1 species